ACUCCUACGGGAGGCAGCAGUGGGGAAUUUUGCGCAAUGGGCGAAAGCCUGACGCAGCAACGCCGCGUGAGUGAUGAAGGCUUUCGGGUCGUAAAGCUCUGUCAAGGGGAAAGAAGUGUAGAGUGGUUAAUACCCGCUUUACUUGACGGUACCCCUGAAGGAAGCACCGGCUAACUCCGUGCCAGCAGCCGCGGUAAUACGGGGGGUGCAAGCGUUGUUCGGAAUUAUUGGGCGUAAAGCGCGUGUAGGCGGUUUGUUAAGUCUGAUGUGAAAGCCCUGGGCUCAACCCAGGAAGUGCAUUGGAUACUGGCAGACUUGAAUACGGGAGAGGGUAGUGGAAUUCCUGGUGUAGGAGUGAAAUCCGUAGAUAUCAGGAGGAACACCGGUGGCGAAGGCGGCUACCUGGACCGAUAUUGACGCUGAGACGCGAAAGCGUGGGUAGCAAACAGGAUUAGAUACCCUGGUAGUCCACGCCGUAAACGAUGAGAACUAGGUGUUGCGGGUAA
rnacentral:rRNA from 1 species